CCUUGAGUGCAUCUUGCGGUCUGUCUCGUGACAAUGAGGAAGUGGCGUUGCAAUGGCGAAUGGACUAGCGAUAUGUUUGUAUAUGGUGUUGGAAUUGCACUACUGAUGAUGUGUUCAGGCGUCCAGCUGAGCUGGGUUGGUGCCUUCAUCAGACCUCCUCCUCCUCCUCUUCGGGCAUAUGUGAGGCUCCAUUGGAUGCCGCCAUGUGAAUGUGAUAAGGCGCCAUGCUGGGCCGCCGCGGGACUUCUCAAGAUUUAUAUCUGAACCAGGAGGCCAAAAAGUGCGUCUAAUCCAUGGGCGCCACACCUGCCGUCAAGCAGACAGACAAAUUCCUAUCUCCCUUUUGGUUUAAGCUGAUCUGAGCAGCCUGGACGUCGUGCGGACUGACUGUAAGUAGCACCUGUUACUUUUAUUGCUAACGUGCACCAGGACUACACCUACUGCAAGAACCCUUUGAAGGAAUGAAAAACCAAAAGAGCAAGUGUGGAGGCAAUGGCAGAGAGAGCGAUGAGAAACAUAGCCAGCCAGCCUAAUUAGCUUCCAAAUGGAAAAAAAGAGGAGAUUCAAAGAGGGUAAUUAGUGUGGAUCCAGCAUGUGCAGACGCUCCCAAGGAGAUAAAAGGAUGCAUUUAAAUGCACAAGUAAAGCAAAAACGCUCUAUUUUUAGCCUGAAAAGGCAUUUUGGUUUGCUUUCCAAAUCAACAAAAUGGUGCCGAGUCCCAAAAUACCGAUCCUCUGAUACCAAUCUUUAUGGUUCUAGUGUGAAUUCCCAAAUAGCGAUAUCAAUAUUUGAUACAUUUAAUGGUGAUGCGCGUUUGAGGGAAGCGCUUGGAAUUGAUCACCUGACAUGAUCUCAUUUCAUCUUGCAUAUCACAAUA